rnacentral:lncRNA from 1 species
AUAAUAGCCUACACAGAGAACCAUACAGUGAAUAAGACAUGUAUUGUGAAGAAUGAAGGAAGUGAAACCUCCCAUUCAUGGUUGAUUUUAUUACGAUAUUUGUAUUGUUCACUUUUCUUUCAUUUAUGACCAUUGUUUUUAGAACGGCUACGAAGACUCAGAUUAUUUUGGAAUGCUGUGACAUCACCCUAUUUAUGAUAUCGCUGCGUAACUAAGGAAUCGAUAAAAAGUAUAUUAUUUGGACUCAAACGUUCCAACGUUCUAUGGAACAUAGACUAUUAUGGGUUUUCCAACACACAUUUAACCACUGUCUCAUGUAGCCUGUUUUAGUUUCGCUAGCGUUGACCCCGAUUUAUCCUUGACGAAUGACCAUCUUAAAUAUCAGGGAACAAGAGCAAUUUAAUGCACUCUUUAAGGCAAAUUCAGUCUCGGGGCCCUCAGGCCAGAGUGGGGCAGCAAAGCACCUAUGGGGCUGACUACAAGCCCCCCAGUGAUCGGCACCUCAGGCUGUUCAGGCUCCAUGCAGAGCCAUCUUGCACCACACACCAGAAGUUGGCGGAUAUGUGGGCUCAGUACUACAGACAGUGUUUCCAGACCAUUACUAACGGCCCACAGAACCCCGCCUUUGCCUUCACUCAGAAGGUGAGAACAGGGAGGGCAGCUUCGUUGGAGAGUGAGAAUUUCAGUAAGAUCCAAGUGAAAAGGACAGCUCCUCCAGAGAAGGAGCAGAGCCAGAUACCACCACAGCGUUCGAGCUCCGACUCUGGGGAACGAAGGUCGGUCUCUCCCUCUUUCCCCUCGACCUCAGUCCGUAACUCCAUCCCGUCCCGCCCUGCCCGGAAAGAGGCAUGGACGCAGGCAACAGGGGACCCAACAGGGGUCACAACGACACCCAAGGACAUGGUGGAGCUGCCUCACAUCGGCAGUGGGGAAGGAAGUGAUGGGGAGCACCCGCUGCAGGUGGAGCGGUUAAGGGAGGAGCAGUUCCGUCGGGACAUGACCCACUCAUCUAGGCAGGAAGGCCAGAUCAACCAGCGCAUAGCCACCCAGUCUAACCUCAUGCACCUAGGACUGCCAUUCGACGGUGUGACCACCUACAGCCAGAGUUACACACACUGGGACAACCCCUCCACACUGAGAGGCCCGCAGCGCAUCCUGCCUGAAGCCACACUCAACUGGAGGGCCUGGGUGUCAGAGUACCAGGACCGGUACCAGGGCCCUGAUCGCUACGUCCCUGGGCAGAGGAAGCCCCCUAGUGGCCUGGAGAAGGAGCCCUGCACCGCCGAGUACCAGCCUGGUGCCCACACCGCAGACCAGACCCAAGGGCACAUCCGCUCAGAGUAUCAGAGGCACUUCACCAAGAAGAACUACCCUGACCUGUCCAGACCCAAGACCAGCCCUGCGUACAGACAGAACAGAGACAACUGA